UAGGAUAGACAGAAAAAUCGUGGAUGAAGAAUAGGGGCGGGAGGGACUUUCGCCGGAGAGGGAGACAGAUAACGAACGAUGAGUUUCUUAGCAACUCCUUCGUCGCCGACGAUUUUCAGUCCGCUACUCAAGUUUCCAAGCUCUGUCGGGACAGCAUGCUGCCUGCAACUAGGUAGGGCGGAGGGAUAUCCGAGAGUGACAAUGAGAGGCGGAAGUGAAAACCGGAAGCCACUGCAGAAGGGGAGGAACCUCAGCAUCGAAGCAAUUCAAGCCGUGCAAUCGUUGAAGCGAACGAAGAAAGAUUUACAACAGUUGGACCGAGUGUAUGAUUCCAAAAUUAGGCGCUUAUUGAAGUUUGAUAUGUUGGCUGUUCUUCGCGAGCUCCUCCGCCAGAACGAGUGUUCUUUGGCUCUUAAGGUUUUCGAAGAUGUUAGAAAAGAACACUGGUACAAGCCUCAGGUCUCGCUGUAUGCUGAUAUUAUUACAGUAUUGGCUAGCAAUGGAUUGUUCGAACGAGUACAAAUUAUUCUUUCGUACAUGAAAGCAGAGGCUGAUUUAGCACCUGAAAUUGACGGGUUUAACGCUCUUUUGAAGGCAUUGGUUAGUCAUAAUUUAGGUGAACUGGCGAUGGAGUCGUAUUAUUUGAUGAAGGAUGUAGGUUGUGAACCAGAUAAGGCUUCUUUCAGGAUUGUCAUAAAAGGAUUGGAAUCAAAGGGAGAGGCAGUUGAUUUAAGAACUGUGAAACAGGAUGCACAAAGGCUUUAUGGUGAAUCACUCGAGUUUUUGGAGGAAGAAGAAGAGGGAGCUACAGCCACAUCUAUACAAUGAGCUGCAGAAUCAGGAGUCAAAUCAUGGAAUGGAAGGCAUAUACAGAUGAAGUUCUGGCGAGAAAGAUGGAGUUCAUUAGCGUUUCCUUUGAAGAAACCUGAAAAGACUCAGAAACUUCCCCUAGAUAUGAGCUUUAACUGUACGCUGGCUUAAGUCAACCGAUGCUUGCAGAGAAUCUAUGUGAUAGCUUUUUGAGUCAUGGAAAAAUUAAUACUAGUGAUCUCAUGAAUGUUGGACGAAUUGUCUCAGUUUACUCUCCUCAUUCUUUUGCUCAGUUUCUUAAGCUGUUGGGAUCCAGAAAUUCCAAUGCCCUGCUUGGCAGUGUCACUGAUUCACUAGUCUGUGCAGAGAAAAGCUGAUCAUCUUGCAAGUUGCAACAUACUCCAGCUCCUAUAUGGUGAGCAUGAGACAAAUAAAAGGGGAAAUGCUAGACUAGAAGUCUUUAAUCCAAAGUGAAUGUUUCCAGGUGCAACGCUGUAGGAAGUAAGUGCUCUUCCACUGCUGGAGGUAACUUCAAAAGAGAGAGGUUGUCCGUGAAGAUUGACAUUGCUUUGCCAGUUCUGUCCCCAGUUCCUUGCCAAUGCAAAUGCUGCCUCUGACAUCUCAAAGUGCUCCUUGGGAAAAUUACACCACCCGCCAUAAUCGGAAGACAAGCCGUAAUUAGGAGGACAGAAGUCGGUGGCUGUUAGAAUGACAGUCGGGCUUCCUUGCAAGCACCACAAGAUGUGAUCAACACAUCUAAGCUCAUAGCAAGCUCCACAGUAGCAGAUAUCCAUUCUUCAUCCUUAGCCGCAAAGAUAUUAAAUGUUUGAAGAAGGACCAAAUAGUAGACUAUCAUAGCUACGAAACCAGCCAUUUCAGAAGAAUACAAGGCCUCGAAGAAGCCUGUGCUGUGUAUGAAUGAACUCAAAAUGAGCCCUUUGUUCACAUUGGUGGCGCUUUUAACGAUGCAAAAGACUAGUCUUCUUAUUUUGCCGAUAAUUGGGGGGACUGAAAGAAGCAAAUUUGGAGGGUUCCGUUUUAGCCAUUAUCAAUGUGGGAAGAGCUUGAGGCUUGAUGUCAAUGGCGGCAGAUGCAGAGAGGAAAUCCACCCAUAAGAAACAGGUAUGUGUGUUUUCUCUUUCUCUUUGUAUAUUAAAUUUAACUUUAAAGAGAUGCCUUGAAAUAAAAGAAUAGAAAGAGAAGGAAGGAUGGAAGCACUAAAUAAUGGUAUCAAGAAGGCAGAACACAGAAAGUGGGGUAUUUUGGUUUUUGAUUGUUGGAUUUUGGACCCAAAUGGAGUUCUAAAAGAAGAUGUUUUUUGGUUUUAGGGCUCAUCUUUUGAUGAGGAAAAAGGGUAGUGGAUGUUUCUUAAAAAACAAAUACAUAAUAAAAAGGAAAAAGAAAAGAAAAGAAAAGAAAAGAUUAUUAGUGGAUGGGUCCUUAGAGUUGGAACGUUCUCUGGGCGGGAAACGGUGCUGAAGGCUUAUCAUUAUUAAUUAUUACGGAAAAUAUUUUAAGUUACAAUAAUAUCACUUAAAAUAUUUCUAUAUAACAAAAUGGGGAAUUUACUAAAAUAGUAGAAAAUAGAAGGUUUUUUUAUAACAAACUGCAAAAUAUUUACGCUAGAAUAAUUUCAAAAAGGGAAAAAGUCCAACUCACUACGAAAAAUACAAAAAAAAGUCUUCAAUGAUACUUGGCGUACCAGUAUUACACAAGCGUGUACUCAAAUCUAAAAGAUCGUGUUUCAAUAUUUCAACGAUUUGUGUGAUAUUUGAUAUACGAUCUUAAAAAAUUAAAUAAUAAAGAAGAUUUAUGAUCGAUUGAAAUCAAUGAUCAUGAUUUCAAGAAAAUAUAAAAGAAAAAUUGUAGAAUAAUAAGAGAAUAAAGAAAAUGAAAAGGCGGCAAAGGGGAAAUCUCGAAUAUUUAAAAAAAAUGGAGGGGAUAUAUUACUUUUAUAUUCUUCAAAAAUACUCCUUAGCACACUCAAAUAUUCGCUCUAGGAAUCGUUUUCCUCGUUUAUUUUUUUGGCGACUUUAUCACCUUCUUCUUUUAUUUUUCUUAUAACCUUCUUUGUUUAUUUUCUUAUGUGAUUGUCCUUACUUGAUGAUCCUAGUGAUAAUAUCUUUUCACGUCAAAACUUCAGUUAUCUCAAUAUUUAUCAAAGUUAUUAUAUUGAAACUCUAUGUAUAUUUUUUCAUAUUAAAUUCUAUAGAAUUAUAUAUAGACUAUAUAUACACUGAAA